rnacentral:rRNA from 1 species
AGCCACAGCUUUAUCGCCCUGCAGCCCAAGACGGGUCACUCACUAAAGCUAAGCAGGGCUAAGCCUGGUCAGUACCUGGAUGGGAGACCACAUAGGAAAACUAGGUUGCUGUUGGAA